rnacentral:rRNA from 1 species
UACGUAGGUUGCAAGCGUUGUCCGGAAUUAUUGGGCGUAAAGAGCUCGUAGGCGGUUUGUCGCGUCUGCUGUGAAAGUUCGGGGCUCAACCCCGGAACUGCAGUGGGUACGGGCAGACUAGAGUGCGGUAGAGGAGACUGGAAUUCCUGGUGUAGCGGUGGAAUGCGCAGAUAUCAGGAGGAACACAAGUGGCGAAGGCGGGUCCCUGGGCCGCAACUGACGCUGAGGAGCGAAAGCGUGGGGAGCGAACAGG